UGGCCUUCGGCCAAAGGAUGCAUUUCUAGUAAAAGCCUGCGGCCAUCCAUCUUCCACCCAGUCUGAUACCCGGAUUAGCCAUCCAAAGGAACACGUGCGUACAAAAUAACUGCCAGGAACAACUGAAAGUGGCAAAAACAUGCAGGGAAUGUGAAUUCUCACAGAGAUCAUAUAGAUCUGUAACUCGUCAGCAAAAGACAGCCUCUGGAAGCUGAAAGAAGAGUACGCAGACCAGAAGAGAUCAACAAGUUCUUGACCAGAGGGG